CCUACGGGAGGCAGCAGUGGGGAAUAUUGCGCAAUGGGCGAAAGCCUGACGCAGCGACGCCGCGUGAGGGAUGAAGGUCUUCGGAUCGUAAACCUCUGUCAGCAGGGAAGUACGGUCACUUUGCUAAUCAGCAGUGAAUUGACGGUACCUGCAAAGGAAGCACCGGCUAACUCCGUGCCAGCAGCCGCGGUAAUACGGAGGGUGCGAGCGUUGAUCGGAUUUACUGGGCGUAAAGCGAUCGUAGGCGGUAUGUCAAGUCAAGGGUGAAAUCCCCGGGCUCAACGUGAGAACUGCCUUUGAAACUGGCAACCUGGAGUAUAUGAGAGGAUGGUGGAAUUCGAGGUGUAGGAGUGAAAUCCGUAGAUAUCUGGAGGAACAUCAAUGGCGAAGGCGACUAUCUGGCACAUAACUGACGCUGAGGAGCGAAAGCGUGGGUAGCAAACAGGAUUAGAUACCCUUGUAGUC
rnacentral:rRNA from 1 species